AUCAGUUAUCGUUUAUUUGAUAGUACCUUACUACUUGGAUAACCGUGGUAAUUCUAGAGCUAAUACAUGCUGAAAACCCCGACUUCGGAAGGGAUGUAUUUAUUAGAUUAAAAACCAAUGCCCUUCGGGGCUCACUGGUGAUUCAUAAUAACUUCUCGAAUCGCACGGCCUUGCGCCGGCGAUGGUUCAUUCAAAUUUCUGCCCUAUCAACUUUCGACGGCUGGGUCUUGGCCAGCCAUGGUGACAACGGGUAACGGAGGGUUAGGGCUCGACCCCGGAGAAGGAGCCUGAGAAACGGCUACUACAUCCAAGGAAGGCAGCAGGCGCGCAAAUUACCCAAUCCCGACACGGGGAGGUAGUGACAAUAAAUACUGAUACAGGGCUCUUUUGGGUCUUGUAAUUGGAAUGAGUACAAUUUAAUUCCCUUAACGAGGAACAAUUGGAGGGCAAGUCUGGUGCCAGCAGCCGCGGUAAUUCCAGCUCCAAUAGCGUAUAUUAAAGUUGUUGCAGUUAAAAAGCUCGUAGUUGAACCUUGGGCCUGGCUGGCCGGUCCGCCUCACCGCGUGCACUGGUCCGGCCGGGUCUUUCCCUCUGGGGAGCCGCAUGCCCUUCACUGGGUGUGUCGGGGAACCAGGACUUUUACUUUGAAAAAAUUAGAGUGUUCAAAGCAGGCUUAUGCUCGGAUACAUUAGCAUGGAAUAAUAGAAUAGGACGUGCGGUUCUAUUUUGUUGGUUUCUAGGACCGCCGUAAUGAUUAAUAGGGACAGUCGGGGGCAUCAGUAUUCAAUUGUCAGAGGUGAAAUUCUUGGAUUUAUUGAAGACUAACUACUGCGAAAGCAUUUGCCAAGGAUGUUUUCAUUAAUCAGGAACGAAAGUUAGGGGAUCGAAGACGAUCAGAUACCGUCGUAGUCUUAACCAUAAACUAUGCCGACUAGGGAUCGGA
rnacentral:rRNA from 1 species